rnacentral:rRNA from 1 species
UAGUGGCGAACGGGUGAGUAACACGUGAGUAACCUGCCCUUGACUUCGGGAUAACUCCGGGAAACCGGGGCUAAUACCGGAUAUGAGCUACCUUCGCAUGGGGGUGGUUGGAAAGUUUUUCGGUCAGGGAUGGGCUCGCGGCCUAUCAGCUUGUUGGUGGGGUGAUGGCCUACCAAGGCGACGACGGGUAGCCGGCCUGAGAGGGCGACCGGCCACACUGGGACUGAGACACGGCCCAGACUCCUACGGGAGGCAGCAGUGGGGAAUAUUGCACAAUGGGCGAAAGCCUGAUGCAGCGACGCCGCGUGAGGGAUGAAGGCCUUCGGGUUGUAAACCUCUUUCAGCAGGGAAGAAGCGCAAGUGACGGUACCUGCAGAAGAAGCGCCGGCUAACUACGUGCCAGCAGCCGCGGUAAUACGUAGGGCGCAAGCGUUGUCCGGAAUUAUUGGGCGUAAAGAGCUCGUAGGCGGUUUGUCGCGUCUGGUGUGAAAACUCGAGGCUCAACCUCGAGCUUGCAUCGGGUACGGGCAGACUAGAGUGCGGUAGGGGAGACUGGAAUUCCUGGUGUAGCGGUGGAAUGCGCAGAUAUCAGGAGGAACACCGAUGGCGAAGGCAGGUCUCUGGGCCGCAACUGACGCUGA